GCGGCCUUGGGCUGGGCCAGGUCGGCCAUCGUGUAGAUGGUCUGGCGGUGCAGGUUCGAGACCUCCACGCUGUCC
rnacentral:tRNA from 1 species